CCUCAGCUUAGCUAGGAGGCGUCGAGCGGCGGACGGGUGAGUAAUGCAUAGGAAUCUGCCCGGUAGUGGGGGAUAACCUGGGGAAACCCAGGCUAAUACCGCAUACGCCCUACGGGGGAAAGCAGGGGAUCUUCGGACCUUGCGCUAUCGGAUGAGCCUAUGUCGGAUUAGCUUGUUGGUGAGGUAAUGGCUCACCAAGGCCACGAUCCGUAGCUGGUCUGAGAGGAUGAUCAGCCACAUCGGGACUGAGACACGGCCCGAACUCCUACGGGAGGCAGCAGUGGGGAAUAUUGGACAAUGGGCGAAAGCCUGAUCCAGCCAUGCCGCGUGUGUGAAGAAGGCUUUCGGGUUGUAAAGCACUUUCAGUGAGGAAGAACGCCUUCGGGUUAAUACCCCGGAGGGAAGACAUCACUCACAGAAGAAGCACCGGCUAACUCCGUGCCAGCAGCCGCGGUAAUACGGAGGGUGCGAGCGUUAAUCGGAAUUACUGGGCGUAAAGCGCGCGUAGGUGGCUUGAUAAGCCGGUUGUGAAAGCCCCGGGCUCAACCUGGGAACGGCAUCCGGAACUGUCAGGCUAGAGUGCAGGAGAGGAAGGUAGAAUUCCCGGUGUAGCGGUGAAAUGCGUAGAGAUCGGGAGGAAUACCAGUGGCGAAGGCGGCUUCUGGACUGACACUGACACUGAGGUGCGAAAGCGUGGGUAGCAAACAGGAUUAGAUACCCUGGUAGUCCACGCCGUAACGAUGUCGACUAGCCG
rnacentral:rRNA from 1 species